rnacentral:rRNA from 1 species
GAUGAACGCUGGCGGCGUGCCUAAUACAUGCAAGUCGAGCGAACAGACGAGGAGCUUGCUCCUCUGACGUUAGCGGCGGACGGGUGAGUAACACGUGGAUAACCUACCUAUAAGACUGGGAUAACUUCGGGAAACCGGAGCUAAUACCGGAUAAUAUAUUGAACCGCAUGGUUCAAUAGUGAAAGACGGUUUUGCUGUCACUUAUAUAUGGAUCCGCGCCGCAUUAGCUAGUUGGUAAGGUAACGGCUUACCAAGGCAACGAUGCGUAGCCGACCUGAGAGGGUGAACGGCCACACUGGAACUGAGACACGGUCCAGACUCCUACGGGAGGCAGCAGUAGGGAAUCUUCCGCAAUGGGCGAAAGCCUGACGGAGCAACGCCGCGUGAGUGAUGAAGGUCUUCGGAUCGUAAAACUCUGUUAUUAGGGAAGAACAAAUGUGUAAGUAACUAUGCACGUCUUGACGGUACCUAAUCAGAAAGCCACGGCUAACUACGUG